ACGGGAGGCAGCAGUGGGGAAUAUUGGACAAUGGGGGCAACCCUGAUCCAGCGACGCCGCGUGAGUGAAGAAGUAAUUCGUUAUGUAAAGCUCUAUCAGCAGGGACGAUAAUGACGGUACCUGACUAAGAAGCUCCGGCUAAAUACGUGCCAGCAGCCGCGGUGAUACGUAUGGCGCAAGCGUUAUCCGGAUUUACUGGGUGUAAAGGGUGCGUAGGUGGCAUGGCAAGUCAGAAGUGAAAUGCGGGGGCUCAACCCCUGAACUGCUUUUGAAACUGUCAAGCUAGAGUGCAGGAGAGGAAAGCGGAAUUCCUAGUGUAGCGGUGAAAUGCGUAGAUAUUAGGAGGAACACCAGUGGCGAAGGCGGCUUUCUGGACUGUAACUGACGCUGAGGCACGAAAGCGUGGGGAGCAAACAGGAUUAGAUACCCUGGUA
rnacentral:rRNA from 1 species